GAUGAACGCUGGCGGCGUGCCUAAUACAUGCAAGUCGAGCGAACGGACGAGAAGCUUGCUUCUCUGAUGUUAGCGGCGGACGGGUGAGUAACACGUGGAUAACCUACCUAUAAGACUGGGAUAACUUCGGGAAACCGGAGCUAAUACCGGAUAAUAUUUUGAACCGCAUGGUUCAAAAGUGAAAGACGGUCUUGCUGUCACUUAUAGAUGGAUCCGCGCUGCAUUAGCUAGUUGGUAAGGUAACGGCUUACGAAGGCAACGAUGCAUAGCCGACCUGAGAGGGUGAUCGGCCACACUGGAACUGGACCCCGGUCCAGACUCCUACGGGAGGCAGCAGUAGGGAAUCUUCCGCAAUGGGCGAAAGCCUGACGGAGCAACGCCGCGUGAGUGAUGAAGGUCUUCGGAUCGUAAAACUCUGUUAUUAGGGAAGAACAUAUGUGUAAGUAACUGUGCACAUCUUGACGGUACCUAAUCAGAAAGCCACGGCUAACUACGUG
rnacentral:rRNA from 1 species